rnacentral:rRNA from 1 species
UUUUAGAAUUUAAUUUAAAGUCUAACCUGCCCACUGAAUAGAUUUUAAAUGGCCGCAGUAUUUUAACUGUGCAAAGGUAGCAUAAUCAUUAGUCUUUUAAUUGAAGGCUGGAAUGAAUGGUUGAAUGAAAUAUUAACUGUUUCAUAAUAAUUUUUAAUAAAAUUUUAUUUUUUAGUCAAAAAGCUAAAAUAAAAUUAAAAGACGAGAAGACCCUAUAAAUCUUUAUAUUUAUUUAAUUUUAAUUAUUUAGAUAAAUUAAAUUAAAUUUAAAUUAAAUAUUUUAUUGGGGUGAUAUUAAAAUUUAAUAAACUUUUAAUAAAAUUUAAACAAAAAUUAAUGAAUUAUUGAUCCAUAAAUUAUGAUUAAAAAAUUAAGUUACUUUAGGGAUAACAGCGUAAUUUUUUUAGAGAGUUCAUAUUGAUAAAAA